rnacentral:misc_RNA from 1 species
GAAACACAUUGAAUAUACAGACACUGAUAUUCUAAACAAGAACAUAUAUUUAAUAUGCAAGUUUAAUCGUAGAAAUAUUUUAUUAGUCGGAAACAUCUUACAAUGGAACAAACUCGGGAAUGGCCCUUUAAGGAUUUAUAUUCUAAGUCCUUAGAAUGUCUAUUGAGUUUCAUGCCAUUGUUUAGAUGUUUUCAAUUAACAAGGUAUUUUUGUUUUUGUUUUUUUUGUUGUUGUACGACUACAAUUACAUAGUCAAUAUUUUAGUUUUGUCUAGAAUACCAGUGUAUAUUCUCAAUGUCUUUCUUGUCGUCCUUUGUUUCGUAGUAACUAAAAUUUCAUUUUGUUUCCUCAUAUACAUGUUGUUUUCGUACGUACAAAAUUAUUAGAGUUAAAAUACACCUGUGACGUCACUAUUGUCUCAACACUCCAUUAUUUUUCAGUAAUGGAGCGAUGAUUCCGUAACUCUCCAUUACUUAGUUAUUACAUGUCUCCCAAAUAUAGGAAUACAAAUAUUUAAAUAACUGAACCAACGACACAAAACUGUAACAAAAAAUAAGGUUUACUCCAAAUGUAUCCGUACAAGCUGUCAGAUGGUUAGUCCGAAUCUCACAAAGAAACAUCGAUAGCGUAGAUUAGUCCAGUUCAACGUCGAUAUAGCUUAAACUCCGAGAGGUAUCCAUUGCUAUUUUAUUCCUGUUUGCUGUAGUAUAUCAGUAAAAUAAAUCAAGCAAAGGAUACACUAGUAAUUCCGACUAUCAAAAAUAACGUAUUAAGUUAAACGAAAACUAAACCAAAUCAAUUUAAUACAGACUAGAUUCAUUCCGGUUUUUUUUUCAAGAUUAGGUUUAUUCAAUCAUAAUAUAAUUGCCACAAAACAGCUAAAACGAGUUUCGUUGAUUACAUAUUUGAAGUAGUGGCUAUCUCCAUAGACUCGAGCAUAGAAUAUUGGGUUGACAGUACCAAACGAAAGUCAUUCCCUUAAGUUUUAGAGUCUUUGAUAUAAAGGGGUACUGGUGGAAUUCCUUCCACCUUAUGUACGUGGGUAGGAGGGAUAAUACCGAAUCCAUCGAUGGCGAUCGAUUCUGCGACAGACCUAUCAGAAGUCUGUGGAUAUUUCUAUCAGAGCUACGUACACUACAGCCGGUGAAGUGGGUGAGGCUGGCGGAAGGAGCAGGAAGGAAUUACAGUACUAGAGAUGCCUUAAUAUAGGCGUUUGCCUACAUUUUAACCUCUUUAGUUUUUUCAAUUGUAAAAACAUUUUGCUAACCAAAUCAUAAAAAUAUAAUUGUUUUAUAUUAUAAUUUACUUUUUGUUCUUCAACUCGAUAUUAUUCCUUAUCCUGUACAGGCUCACGUACACGUUUCGACAUAGUUCCAUUUUUAACGUUUCUGCUAAUUCACAGGAUACAGUCAGUUCGUCAUCGGACGAUGUUUGGUCGUCAUUCAAAGACACAACAUGCAAUAUUGUACUACUCCCACCAUUAUCAUCGAAUGAUAUGUCGGAGCAUUUCACUAAUUUGUCGUUAUCAAGUAACACGUUCAGUAUAUAGUAUCGCCUAUCUUCAAUCGUAUCCCAGUUGAAAGCACAGUAUUUGUAUGUAGAUUCAUUUAAAAUAAAUUUAACAAAUAAAUAGUAACCAUGUCGCCACAAACGUAUCUCAACAAAAUGGCGUUUUCGUUGCACGUGUCUUGACUUCAUCCAUGCACGUGAUCGCUAUACUGCACAUGAAAAGCGUUUUCAUUGCAUGUUUUAAGUAAUGGAGACUUAACCUGUCCAUGCGACUGGUAGAUUACACAUGAAAAGUCCGUGCUAGUGUUACCAUAACAUCAACACGACAAAUGAGGCUGUCCACGAGGUAGCAGCAGUAUGAUGAUAGUUGUUUUAAUUAAUACCCAAAAUCUUACUUGAAUGAAUGAAUGUUUAACGACACCCCAGCACGAAAAAUACAUCGGCCAUUAGGUGUCAAACUAUGGUAAUGGAAACAAAUAAGGUGAUGAUUAACAUCAACACAAAAAUUCAAAACCCAAACGAAAACAGCGUAAAGAACUGUGCAAAAAUACAAAUAUCACAGAUAGAUACUGACUUUUACUAAAAAUUUCAAUUUGUGCUGUAUUGGCCAUCCUCAAAGAGAAUGUUACACCCCUGCACCACGGUGAGGUUACAGCACGCGAAGGGGAAAAAUCUUACUUAACCCACCACAAUCACUUGUGUUCCACUCCAUACUUACAUAAUAUAUUGACAUACAGUCAUUAUUUAGUGGUGUAUUUUAAGUAGGGGAUCGUCUCCUUUAUUUUUCAGGAAUGGAGCGUUGCUCGGCCAUUCCCCUUAACGUAAAAUCCAGUUAGAGUUACUAUGAUCAGUAGGACGACCAGACCUGGUGCUUAUACAACUUUUAUUUAGAGUCCAGACUCAAUCUCUAAUGACGUCACAAGCAUACAAUUUGUAUUGCGUUGUUAUGACAUUGGUGUCUCAGAUUGGAGUCUCGAGUCUAGACUCUAAAAGUUUUAUAAGCACCAGGUCAAAGACACAUUGUACAUACAGACACUGGUAGUCUAAACAAACAAAAUUCAGGAAUUUUAAUAUUUAAUUUUAGUCGAUAAAAAGGCUCUAUUAAUAGGAAACAGUUUUUAAUAAUAUGCCUUUAAUUUGGUAUGUUGUAUGUUACAGGAGAUAAAAUAACAAAAUUCAUAAUACAGAAUGAUAUUGCAUCUGACACGGGUAUUUCGGAAUCUCUAAUCCAGUUUGUGCAAGUAACAAACCCAACUAAAAAUCUCGGGGGCAGAAAAACUAAACGUACUCUUUUUUACUUUAACAGUGUCCAACGAGGUAGACUCUACAUUAUUGCGUCUGAUGUUUUUCCCCUGCUCCAAUUCCUAACCCACCCACGCCACCUACCCCAGUUUCUUAAAGAAGGUGCGACUAUGUACUGAGUUUCAUAGACGGAAAUUACAUGAUCAUCUGAAAGUGUGAAAAUACAUAUUAUAUGGAUUAAGUUACUCACAUGCAAUACCCCACCUAAAAAAAGCACAAAAAACCCAACAACAAAAAAACAAAAAACAAACAAAAACAAACUCAAACAAACACGACGACAACCUCCCCCCAACCCACCUCCGAAAUAAUAACAUUAGUUAACACCGCUAUGAAUGAAACAUUUGGUGAGCGAGCAGUAUUAAAGUUAUAUCACUACCGCCACCGCCACCGCCACCGCCAACACCCCCGAACAAAAUGUACCACAAAAUAUCCCACCGAUAAUGGCAUAAUACAAACAUUAAACAAGAAACAUUGAAUCAAACUAACUCUAUAAACAAACAUUAUUUACGUGCAUGCGUUUGUAUGUCUGUGUAUAUGUGUGUGUGUCUCUCCAAAAAUAAAGGGGACGGGAGGUAAUACUAAUUUUGGCACGUAUCCAUAACGAGUCUAUCACAUGAAAUGACAUCCAUCUACAAUCAGGCACAUGAAAGAACUGGGGCGGCCGGUUGGAGGGGUGGGGCCUCAGUGCAGGAGUUAACAGGCACGGUGGAAGCAAGUAGACAUUGGGGGAGGGGGGGGGGGAGGGGCUGACUGAGACCGAGAACGCAAAGUUUCUAGCGGGUUCGGUAGUGCAGGGCGCACAUUAAGAGGUUUGUCGGUCAUCGUGUAAAAAGCUUUGGCGCUUUACUUUGCUCAACAACAUAUUCGCUGAAGAGCAGAAUCGAAACAACCUCAAACGACCUACUUGCCCACCUGCUGUGUACAAAUGUGUAAAUCGCUACUGUAUAUUAUAUAAUCAGUUUUGUAUGUGAUGUUUAAAUAUGUUCUAUGGAUCACUGAUCUGAAAUAAAAAUAAAUUAUUAUUAUUAUUAUUAAGUCGAUACUGCACACUUUUUACGUUCGUUCAGACUAGGGUGUUCGGGGGAUAUUGUUCUCCGUAAAAUUUCCAAAACUAGAUUGCCUCAAAUGCCAUUUCCGGCAUUCUACAAGUAAAAUUCAUCUCUGCCUUAAGAUUUACUGCCAAUAAUAUUUUUGAUUCAGAAAUUGUCUAGCUGGCUAAGGAAGUGACAGAUUGGUUUGUUUAUCAAAUGAACCUAAAUCAGGCCUCAUGGUGCAGACGAGUUCAGUCCCUUGUAACAUUCCAGAGCAGAGUUGUUGACAUUGUUUGUGUUUCCGGUUUUUCUUGUUGACGAUUUGUUUUCAGCAUUUCUGGUGUAUUUUGAAAAUAAACUGUAAUGAGUUGUAUUGUAACAAAAUACUGGACCUUAACAAGGAUAUUUAGUAUUGUUCUCGGUCACUGACAGCGUUCGAGCAUUUUGUAUCUGCAAUAGAUGUGUUUGAUGAUGCAAGGGAGGGCCAAGAAGCAUAAUGCACAGCAGAGACUGAAGAGUUUUCUGUGACAUUCUAUUUCUUUGCAGUGUUUUUAGCUGGUUCAGUUUACUGAAAGACCGUUUACAAGCAGCAUUUGAUUGUGAAAGCAUCUUGUUACAAGAUUAUGAAUCGAGUUUUGAUAUCAGAAUUAUUUUAAAGUCCUAGUUAUUAUGACUUAAGACAACAUUACAGGAUGAACAAAUAAAAAUGGUUUCAAA